rnacentral:rRNA from 1 species
CAUGGCUCAGAUUGAACGCUGGCGGCAGGCCUAACACAUGCAAGUCGAACGGUAGCACAGAGAGCUUGCUCUUGGGUGACGAGUGGCGGACGGGUGAGUAAUGUAUGGGAAACUGCACGGUGGAGGGGGAUAACUACUGGAAACUGUAGCUAAUACCGCAUAAUGUCGCAAGACCAAAGAGGGGGACCUCUGGCCUCUUGCCAUCGGAUGUGCCCAGAUGUGAUUAGCUAGUUGGUGAGGUAAUGGCUCACCAAGGCGACGAUCCCUAGCUGGUCUGAGAGGAUGACCAGCCACACUGGAACUGAGACACGGUCCAGACUCCUACGG